ACCACACCACCACCAACCAUGUUUAAUUCACCGCCACCUCGAACAAUUGCACCAUCACCUAAAAUGCCACCAACAACAUCGCCACCUACUCCUAUCACAUCUCCGUCGAAGCUACCUCCCACACAACCACCUCGUCCAACGACAUCACCACCUAAGAUAACUCCUAUAACACCACCGACUCCUACCACAUCACAACCACCUAAGACGACUCUUGCCAAACCACCAACUCUUACCACACCACCACCAUCUCUGACUCCUUCUGGACAACCACCUCGUCCAGUAACACAACAACCUAGGAAUCCUCCAACUUCAACACCACCAACUCCUUCAACACUUCCAACUUUGCGUCCUUCUACACCUCCACCUCAUUCAUUGACAUCUCCACCUAAGACGGCUCCUACCAAAGCGCCGCCUACUCCUAGCACACUACCUCCUCGUCCAAUGACACCGCCACCUAAGAAGCCUCCUACAAUUUCACCAUCUACACCUACCACACCACCACCAACCAUGUUUAAUUCACCGCCACCUCGAACAAUUGCACCAUCACCUAAAAUGCCACCAACAACAUCGCCACCUACUCCUAUCACACCACCGUCGAAGCUACCUCACACACCUCCACCUCGUGCAAUGACACCGUCACCUAAGAUAACUCCUAUAACACCACCAACUCCUAUCACAUCACAACCACCUAAGACGACUCCUGCCAAAUCACCAACUCUGACUCCUUCUG
rnacentral:lncRNA from 1 species